rnacentral:rRNA from 1 species
UACGUAGGGGGCUAGCGUUGUCCGGAAUCAUUGGGCGUAAAGAGCUCGUAGGCGGCUUGUCGCGUCGGAUGUGAAAGCCCGGGGCUUAACUCCGGGUCUGCAUUCGAUACGGGCAGGCUAGAGUUCGGUAGGGGAGAUCGGAAUUCCUGGUGUAGCGGUGAAAUGCGCAGAUAUCAGGAGGAACACCGGUGGCGAAGGCGGAUCUCUGGGCCGAUACUGACGCUGAGGAGCGAAAGCGUGGGGAGCGAACAGG